rnacentral:snoRNA from 1 species
CAAAUGAUGUGAUCAAUGUUGUGUUGUAACCUGACGUCUUUUUGAUGAACAUGCAUCCCUGAAU